rnacentral:rRNA from 1 species
UCACGCUGGCGGCGCGCUUAACACAUGCAAGUCGAACGAGAAAGUGGAGCAAUCCAUGAGUACAGUGGCGUACGGGUGAGUAACACGUGGGUAAUCUACCUUUUAGUGUGGAAUAACCCUGGGAAACCGGGGCUAAUACCGCAUAAGCUCGAGAGAGGAAAGUCGCAAGACGCUGAAAGAGGAGCCCGCGGCCGAUUAGCUAGUUGGCAGGGUAAGAGCCUACCAAGGCAGAGAUCGGUAGCCGGCCUGAGAGGGCACACGGCCACACUGGCACUGAAACACGGGCCAGACUCCUACGGGAGGCAGCAGUGGGGAAUCUUGCACAAUGGGGGCAACCCUGAUGCAGCGACGCCGCGUGAGCGAUGAAGCCCUUCGGGGUGUAAAGCUCUUUCGGCAGGGAAGAUAAUGACGGUACCUGCAGAAGCAGCUGCGGCUAACUACGUGCCAGCAGCCGCGGUAAUACGUAGGCAGCGAGCGUUGUUCGGAGUUACUGGGCGUAAAGGGUGUGUAGGCGGUUGUUUAAGUUUGGUGUGAAAUCUCCCGGCUCAACUGGGAGGGUGCGCCGAAUACUG